AAAUUGAAGAGUUUGAUCAUGGCUCAGAUUGAACGCUGGCGGCAGGCCUAACACAUGCAAGUCGAACGGUAACAGGAAGAAGCUUGCUUCUUUGCUGACGAGUGGCGGACGGGUGAGUAAUGUCUGGGAAACUGCCUGAUGGAGGGGGAUAACUACUGGAAACGGUAGCUAAUACCGCAUAAUGUCGCAAGACCAAAGAGGGGGACCUUCGGGCCUCUUGCCAUCGGAUGUGCCCAGAUGGGAUUAGCUAGUAGGUGGGGUA
rnacentral:rRNA from 1 species